rnacentral:tRNA from 1 species
AGGUCCAUAGUUCAACGGUAGAACAUCGGUCUCCAAAACCGAGGGUGAGGGUUCAAUUCCUUCUGGGCCUG